AACGAACGCUGGCGGCAUGCCUAACACAUGCAAGUCGAACGAGAUCCUUCGGGGUCUAGUGGCGCACGGGUGCGUAACGCGUGGGAAUCUGCCCUUUGCUUCGGAAUAACAGUUAGAAAUGACUGCUAAUACCGGAUGAUGUCUUCGGACCAAAGAUUUAUCGGCAAGGGAUGAGCCCGCGUAGGAUUAGGUAGUUGGUGGGGUAAAGGCCUACCAAGCCGACGAUCCUUAGCUGGUCUGAGAGGAUGAUCAGCCACACUGGGACUGAGACACGGCCCAGACUCCUACGGGAGGAAGCAGUGGGGAAUAUUGGACAAUGGGCGCAAGCCUGAUCCAGCAAUGCCGCGUGAGUGAUGAAGGCCUUCGGGUCGUAAAGCUCUUUUACCGGGGAUGAUAAUGACAGUACCUGGAGAAUAAGCUCCGGCUAACUCCGUGCCAGCCGCCGCGGUAACAC
rnacentral:rRNA from 1 species